GAGGUAAAGGCUCACCAAGCCGACGAUCUGUAGCUGGUCUGAGAGGACGACCAGCCACACUGGGACUGAGACACGGCCCAGACUCCUACGGGAGGCAGCAGUGGGGAAUUUUGGACAAUGGACGCAAGUCUGAUCCAGCCAUGCCGCGUGCGGGAAGAAGGCCUUCGGGUUGUAAACCGCUUUUGUCAGGGAAGAAAAGGUUCCUUCUAAUAAAGGGGACUCAUGACGGUACCUGAAGAAUAAGCACCGGCUAACUACGUGCCAGCAGCCGCGGUAAUACGUAGGGUGCAAGCGUUAAUCGGAAUUACUGGGCGUAAAGCGUGCGCAGGCGGUUGUGCAAGACAGGUGUGAAAUCCCCGGGGCUUAACCUGGGAACUGCACUUGUGACUGCACGGCUAGAGUACGGUAGAGGGGGAUGGAAUUCCACGUGUAGCAGUGAAAUGCGUAGAUAUGUGGAGGAACACCGAUGGCGAAGGCAAUCCCCUGGACCUGUACUGACGCUCAUGCACGAAAGCGUGGGGAC
rnacentral:rRNA from 1 species